GACGAACGCUGGCGGCGUGCCUAAUACAUGCAAGUCGAGCGAAGUUUUUCUGGUGCUUGCACUAGAAAAACUUAGCGGCGAACGGGUGAGUAACACGUAAAGAACCUGCCUCAUAGACUGGGACAACUAUUGGAAACGAUAGCUAAUACCGGAUAACAGUAUUUCUCGCAUGAGAGAUAUUUAAAAGUUGGUUAUGCUAACACUAUGAGAUGGCUUUGCGGUGCAUUAGCUAGUUGGUGGGGUAAAGGCCCACCAAGGCGACGAUGCAUAGCCGACCUGAGAGGGUGAUCGGCCACACUGGGACUGAGACACGGCCCAGACUCCUACGGGAGGCAGCAGUAGGGAAUCUUCCGUAAUGGGCGAAAGCCUGACGGAGCAACGCCGCGUGAGUGAAGAAGGAUUUCGGUUCGUAAAGCUCUGUUGUUAGGGAAGAAUGGAUAUGUAGUAACUAUACAUGUAAGAGACGGUACCUAACCAGAAAGCCACGGCUAACUACGUG
rnacentral:rRNA from 1 species